UACGGAGGAUCCGAGCGUUAUCCGGAUUUAUUGGGUUUAAAGGGUGCGUAGGCGGGAGAUUAAGUCGGUGGUGAAAUUUUGCAGCUCAACUGUAAAAGUGCCUUCGAAACUGGUUUCCUUGAGUGUAGAUGAAGUAGGCGGAAUUUGUGGUGCAGCGGUGAAAUGCAUAGAUAUCACGAGGAACUCCGAUUGCGCAGGCAGCUUACUAAACUACUACUGACGCUCAGGCACGAAGGCGUGGGGAUCAAACAGGAUUAGAUACCCCCGUAGUCCCU
rnacentral:rRNA from 1 species